GAUAAUUGCCAAGCCCUUUCCUUUAUCGAUUAAGUGCAGCACAGCCAUUCAAAGUCCUCAAUCCACCAUCCAGAAUCCAUGCGUACGCAGCCACUGGGACAGCCACCACCGACAGCCAACCACUGCCACUACGAUCACCACUGCCACCAAUGACAGAGAUUAGUAAUUGUAAGUAAUAAAUUGCAAUUUUCGACUCAACAUAUUAUAUAAAAACUAAAUCUGUUUUCAACUACGUAAUCAUUGUUUUCAAAUUAUACUGGGAUGGAACUGGCAAUCCUUUGGGAAGGUUUGCCAUAUGUGGAACUGUCACUUUGGACAUCACGCUUUAACUAAAUCUGACAGCCUCCCUUGUUCAAUUAUUUAUUCAAUUCUGCAGGUACAUGAUAUUUCUUCUUAGUG
rnacentral:lncRNA from 1 species